rnacentral:rRNA from 1 species
GAUUUAUAUUUCUUGUUAAUUAUAGGAAGGGUAAAAGAUUAAAGUAUGAAAAAUAAUUUAAAAUAUUAUCAGAAUAGUAAAUAUUAUUGAAUUGAUAAGGUUUAACAAGAGUAAAUAGUACUGUAGGGGAAAGAGUGAAAAAAUAAAAAAAGAAAAAGUAAUAAUUUAAUUUUGUACCUUGUGUAUCAGGGGUGAUUUAUAUUUUAUUAAGUAGUAUUAGAAAUCUCGAAAUAAAAAUAGCUAAUCUUAUAAAAAAGUUUUUGUGGUAAAAGUAUUUUUAAUAUAAUAUUAGAAGUGAUAUGUUAGUCGGGUUUUAUAAUAUCUAGUUCUCUAGGAAGUAAAUAUAAUUUAGAUUCUAUAAGAAUUUAAUAUAGAAUAAAAUAAUAGGAGGGAAGAGCUUCUUAUUAAUAAGGUAAAUACCAAGAUAAUAAUUAAUUAUUGAUCUAGGCUUAGAAGUAGCUAUGUUUAUAAAGUGUUUUAAUUAGGACAUAUAGUGAAUAUUAUUUUUAUAUAGGUUUAUAAAAGUAUUAGGGAUUUAUUUUAAUUAAAUUAAAAUAAGAUAAAAUGAUUUUAUAAGUAGAAUAGUUAUAUUAGGUUAUAUAUAUAUAUAUAUAGAAUACUUAAUAAAAUAUAUUAAUAAUUAGGUAGAAAUAAAGGAAUUCAGCAAAUAAUUUCUUUGCCUGUUUAUCAAAAACAUGUUUGUUUGGAGUUAUAAAGAAUUUAGUCUGCCCCCUGAUAAAUUAUUAAAGGGCCGCAGUAUUCUAACUGUGCAAAGGUAGCAUAAUCAUUAGGUUUUUAAUUGAAAUCUUGUAUGAAUGGCUGGACAAAAGAAAAUCUUUUUUUAUAUUAACUUUUGAAUUUAACUUUUAAGUGAAAAGGCUUAAAUAACCCAAGGGGACGAUAAGACCCUAUAAAACUUUACAUUAUAAUUGAAUUUAAUUUAAUUUAGUAAAAUAAAAAUUUAAUUUAAUUAUUUGUUGUGUUGGGGAGACAUAAGUAGAAUUUAUAUUUAACUAUUUUAGCGAUUCAACAAUUAUAAUUGAAGUGUAAAGGAUCCUUUUUAAAGAUUAAUAAGUUAAGUUACUUUAGGGAUAACAGCGUAAUUUCCUUUAAGAGUUCUUAUCAAAGGGGAAGAUUGCGACCUCGAUGUUGAAUUAAAAUAUCUAUAUAAUGGAGAAGUUAUAUAAGAAGGUCUGUUCGACCUUUAAAUUUUUACAUGAUUUGAGUUCAAACCGGUGUGAGCCAGGUUGGUUUCUAUCUCUUGGAUUUAAGAGAACUAUUCUAGUACGAAAGGAGUGAGUAGUUAAGAUAAUUUUAUUUAAUUAUUA